rnacentral:rRNA from 1 species
GAUGAACGCUGGCGGCGUGCCUAAUACAUGCAAGUCGAGCGAACGGACGAGAAGCUUGCUUCUCUGAUGUUAGCGGCGGACGGGUGAGUAACACGUGGAUAACCUACCUAUAAGACUGGGAUAACUUCGGGAAACCGGAGCUAAUACCGGAUGAUAUUUUGAACCGCAUGGUUCAAAAGUGAAAGACGGUCUUGCUGUCACUUAUAGAUGGAUCCGCGCUGCAUUAGCUAGUUGGUAAGGUAACGGCUUACCAAGGCAACGAUGCAUAGCCGACCUGAGAGGGUGAUCGGCCACACUGGAACUGAGACACGGUCCAGACUCCUACGGGAGGCAGCAGUGGGGAAUCUUCCGCAAUGGGCGAAAGCCUGACGGAGCAACGCCGCGUGAGUGAUGAAGGUCUUCGGAUCGUAAAACUCUGUUAUUAGGGAAGAACAUAUGUGUAAGUAACUGUGCACAUCUUGACGGUACCUAAUCAGAAAGCCACGGCUAACUACG